GGACCAAAGUUAGGCCCAGCUGGGCCGAGUCGAGCCGGGCUGAGAGAAGGCGGCGGCGGGCAGAAAGAAAAUGGCAGGGGAGGGAGGCACGGGGAGUGGAGGUCAGAGACCGAGUACGGGCCUCGGUUCUGCUCUGUAAACCCUGCAGCUGCUCCCAGUGCCCCACUUUACAGCAACCAUUUUUUUCCUCCCAGCCUGGUUCUCCUCUUAGCUCGACCCGAGGCUCUCCUCAAUGUCAAGCUGUUUCGCUUCUCUCUGGUUAAAUGCGGAUUUCGUCUUCCCUCUGUGAAUGAAACCGUGUUAGGCUGUGUGAGCCGAGCCUGGGUCUGACAUUAGCUGCUGCUUUCACUCUUUCAAAGGUGAUUUUGUUUUUUUUGGGGGGGGGUUUUUUUCCCACCGGGCUCUUUUUUUCCCUCCACGAGCGGAAACAGGGCGUCACAUUGUUGCAAAAAAUCAGAACUGUGAUUGGGACAAACAUUUGGGGCUUGAAAUAGCGAGUCAAACGGUGUUUUUGAGGGGCGUCCUGUCCCACUUGGCUGGCUGGUUAGAGGCCGAUCAGACUGAGGCGAGGCGACUCUCUGCUGCUGCUCACUACAGGAAGAACUGACCGAUAGGAUGGCGUUCAAGGCCGAUACAGGCAGAGUUUAGCUCCGAAGCUGCCGUGGUUCAUGAUAUCCACAUCUAAUCAUUUGUAUUGAAAACCUAAAGGAGUUAAUGAUUCAAGGCUCAACUCUUGGCACCUGGGAACAAUUGUUAACAAUUAUAACCCUGCUGGUGAAAUUCCUCACAUGGUAUAUCAACUUUUUUUUUUUAUACCAUCAGAGUAUUUGGAGAUGUACAGCUAUUUUAAAAACAGUCAUAAAUCCAAAAUAUUACUGAGACACAAUAUUACUUGAUUUGUAAAUCAGGAGGUCCUGAGACAGGCUGUGCUUGUCUGACAGGUCAGGUGAAGAGAAAAGUCAUGUAACGCACCAAAACCACAGAGUGUACAGCAUCUAGGUGCUAAAACUAAACACGGCAGCUGUCAUGAGCGGUGCUAAGUCGAGCACACCCGUUGUAAAUGCAGAAUAUUGUUAGAUCUGACGAUUGCACCUGUGCUCCGAUUCGAAGUUUGUGUAGCCACGCUCGUUUCACUGCACAGAGCUAAACGGCCUCUUGCUGUGCUGCAGAUUUUAGCUACAGAAAUAUUCUGCAUAAAUAUUUAGACACCAAGUAAUUAAACUACCUGGCACCAUAUGGUUGGUUGAGGCCUGCAUUUCCCUGUUCUUCGGCCUAACACUGCACCAAUCGCCACCAGCGUUCUCGUCAAAAUAACAGCAAUAUCAGCCCCCUAACCAAUCAGUCAUUAACAUUAGCAUCGUACCUUUUUUACUUGUCUAAAACAAGCAGCCCCACACACCUACUCUACUCUCCCUCCCCCAUCUUCAUCAACUCUCCAUCCAACUUCUCCUCCUCAUCCUCAAAUUCUUCCUCCUGCUCGUCAUGUUUUUUUAAUAGAUGCCACUGAGCUACGAUCGAUGCUAACGUUCCUUGCAAUACUUUGGCUGCCUGUGCGUGAUUUUUUUCCCCUAGGAUGGCACUGAAAGACGUCCACUAAUAUUCAUCAGACUAAGGUGACCUUGUUUUUUACCCAGUUUUCCCCCUUUAGACAUCCCUUAGGCUGAAUUAUCAUGUCUGCUAGAAGAAAUGUUUCAAAAUAUAGACCCAUUCAAGCCCUGAUAGAUUACAAAAUGGGAAUGGGCGGAGGAUGCACAUGCGAUCCUGAUGAUGAAAUUUACGUCAUGGGGAUCCUUGUGACUACACCCACAUAAUACAACACUAAAACUCUCUCACAUCAGCUUUUUACCCUCUAAAUACUCAUAAUAAGGGAGUGGAGGGGCAAUAUAAUGAAGGAUGAUUUGAAGAAUCAUUACUUAACAAUGUGGAAUGAUUGCUAGGGUGUGUUUUUUAUGUGUGUAUGUGCAGUGCUAACCAGACUACGCACCCACAUCAUUUUCACUAACUAGCCAGAUGACUGGCAUACUUUCUAGUGGUGUGACAGCAUACCGAGCAUUGAGCUGUGCAUUUUUAUUAGGCCACUCAGCAUUAUAGCCGUCAACAUCAGACAUUCCUGCAGUUGAUUACCAUCGAACCUGGCAGGUCCAGUUCUUAACUGUUUACUCAUGCUGGUUAGUUGACUGUGAGGACUCUGUUUGUCCACAGAUCACACAGGUCAAAGUUUCUCAAAAGGAAAAUCUAACCAACCAAUCAUUAACAGAGAGAAGCUUGUUGAGCAAAGCUGGGCUGAGGUCCGUUCCUCUGCGUUCCUGAAUCUGCGCUCGUCAGUGGAGGCUGAUAGGUGUUUGGUUGAUAGGGAACAGUACAGGCUGGGGACAUGUCCCCCUGUCAAGCUUGAGCUGUGCCGGCUCCGUUGAGGCAGGGGAACCAAGGGCAAAUUCCUGUGGUGUAUUCAAGCUCACUGUGCCAGUUAUUGCGCAAAAUGGGCAAAUGGCUCCGACAGGAAUAUCAAGGGAGACGUGGAUAUAAUGAGUGUGGGAAUGGGUUUGUCCUUGUGUGUGAGGGGAGAGUCUGUAAGGUCAAAAACCGGAGCGGUUUGUCAGAGGCAGUUUUCCGUCAUGCUGACUCUUGCACAUUUGCCAUGUUGAGUAAUACAAGAGGGGAAAAAGACAGCAAUGCUUGGGAUUUUUUUGGCAUUCUUGCCUUUUUAUUUGAUGUCCACAGUACAGCACGAUAGACAGGGAAAAACUGAGGGAGGAGACAGCGAGAUGGCAUGUGACAAUAGGCCUCAGGUCACAUUUGAACCCAGAACACUGGAGUUGCAUAGUUCACACCUCCAUCUAAUGGAGCCACGAGGACGCCUCGAAGAUUAGGACUUUAUCUGCUUAUUUAAACAAUGCAGUGCACUCAUCUCUCUUUAUCUCUUUAGUAAACAAAAAAAAUGCAAGUUAGAAAUGACAAUGCUUUAAAGAAGACAUUUGGCAGCAGUAAGGCUUUUCCUUUAUUUGCUCCAUUUGAAUAAAAUUCAAAGGUUCUCAGUCCUGCAGACCAGAGAUUCACUCUACACAAGAAUGACUUAUUUUGGGAGUCUCUUGUGAUAUGGAUAUUUCAGCGCUGUACAGUGUGAGUCUGUGUUUCUUUGGCAGAAGCACAGGUUAGUCCUUGUAGCGUGUUUACAGUUGUCCAGUUCGUACAUUGAGCAACAUUUCUCAACACCCAAGAGUAGCUGGACUGAGCCCAGCUGAGUCCAGUUAACUGCAGUUUGUUACAGGCAAAGCUCCUCGCCUGACAAACAUGUUAUUAAGUCUCUCUCGCGCUGCUCUUGGAUCCACCACAUGUUGAAACACGUCAAAGUAUGCAGUGAUGCCACCAGAGGUUUUAUUGUAACUCUCUGCAGUGUGGCAGGCGUUACAUGCAAAUCCAGCUUCUCAGCGACCGUUAGGCUGCACGUAUUUCUCCUGUCAUGAGGCAGGCCGAAAGUACAGCGAUGUGGGUGGAUGAGCUAACAAGGAAAGCAGUACAGAACACAAGCCAAAGGGCCCGGAGCAGUCUGCAUCACUGGUGAUUGAUUAUUAUUUGUCAGGGUGAUUUACUUUUAAAAACAGAUUAAUUACUACAUCUCCCACUGUUCCCCUCAGAUGCAGUAGUGGUCGGUUAAUUCCCCAAAAAAAGCUAAAACUUUAGAUGAUAAAAAAAAUGUCAUUCAUGCAAGUAAGUGAAUGACCCAAGAUAAGCAUGCAAAUCGGAGCAGUUUUGGUAUUUGCAGAAAACAAGAUGUGCUGCCAAAAAUAAGACUACAGGAGAAAUGUACUUCUGGAUUCACGUCAGAGUUCUAAUGUGUUUGUUCUCUUCCCUUAGUUUGUAUCGGGAGUACGUUUCGCUAAUCGUGGAACAUUUCUCUGAUAAAUCAGCUGUGUCAGAAUCAGUUGUGGUCACUGACUGAUGUUUAUUGGUCUUCAUUUUCCUACGCUGAUAGCUGGCUCAAUCUGCCAGCCUGUUUGCAUGAAGUGACUGGAGCUGGACUGUGACGUGGACUCACAGCUGAACAGACGUUACAGUUAACAGCUGUAACUGAUGGAAAGAUGGGGAGGUAGACGGGAAGAUUUAACAUAACUUGCUUUUACAUGACCUGUCAGAUGGUACGUUAAUACAAUUUAUACCUGUGCUUAAUUAGGCUCGUUAUUUCUUUUAAAGACACCUACAUUUGUUUCUUUCAAACAAGAAAUCACUUUUAUUUCUAAGCUUUGACAGCGGAGAUGUGUUCUCCCACAUAAGCAGCAUGAAUUUGUUUGUAGCCAGCCUCCCCAGACACACCCUACCACUGCCCAGACUUGCAACGCAGAUUUUUUUUCCGUUGCUGCCAAGGUGGGCAGCUGGACACAAUGUUAGUUUGUUCUUUUGCUGCCCACUUUCGCAUGCUUUCUGUGUGACUGGCUGGUAGACGGAGCCGGUUCAGAUGGCCCCGGUUGGCUCAGGAUGAGCUGUGAGUGACAUUUUGUCAGGACAAAUGGAUCAAACAAUGCAUCCUGCUGUCGUCGCUACACUGGCUAAGAUCUUGCUGCAUUAAAAGCUGCCAGGCGACUUUUUUUCUUCCUGCCUGCCUUCCUGUUCCAAAACAACAUUUAAAAAGAAUGAAAGGAGCUGAAAACGUUUGCGGAAGGUUGACUAAAUAGCCUGCUCGCUAAACAACAAUAGACAAUGAUCUGUUUGUAGAGAAUUAAAGGAGCAUACACUUUGAUUGGUUGCGUUUGUGUGCGUGUUAAUUGGCUGAUUCAGCGUAGCAGCACCAACCACACUGGGGUGUGGCAGAUACAGGAGGAAUCGACUCUCCUGAUAUCAUUGAGAGCUGUUGAGCAGGUAUCAGUGAGUUCUACCCCUUUAUUGCAAAUGUUCAUCUGUAAUGUUAAUUCUGUUCUCUCUGUCUGAACAAAAGGGCUCUUCAUCCUCUGUAUGGAGAGUUUCAGCUCCUACCCUCCGGAUGGAGAUUCAGACUACCAAAGGCCGGUCUGACAGGCUGAAUCAUUGCUUUAUUUCUCAGGCCACUAAACUGUUGAAUGCUCACGAUGACCCAACUGUUGAUUAGUUUCCCAUUUAACUACUGGGGGCUGAUGAUGAUGGUUUUAGUGAUGGCUAAACAUACUCUAGGUUUUGUUUUGUUGCUUGAUGUAUUCAUGUAUUUUAUCAUGUUUUUUGUACCUGAGUCCGUGUGCCUAAGUCUCCGUUUUACCUCUGUUUUACCUGGCUGCAAGACAAAUUUCCCAUUGGGGACAAUAAAGUUUAAGUUUAUCUGUUUUUAUAUAAUUGUAAAGUGAAUAUGUUUGGGUUUUUGACUGUCUGGCAGUGAAAACAAUCAAUUUGAAGAUGUGACAUGAGCUCUGGGAACUUGUAAUUUUUUUUACUAUUUUCUGACAUUUUGUAGAGUAAAAAAUCAAGUUAUUGUAAAAAUAAUCUGCACUUUAACUGAUAAUGAAAAUAGGUAGUCAUAGUCCUAAUCAUGAUGAUGCAAUUGCAUUUUCAGAAGCAAAUUCAAGGGGAAACACCGCUGUAACCUAUAACCUCUUCCAGAAGUGGAAUUUAUUUGAACGCUUAGAGAAGUACAUUUUUGCACUUGUAACAGUAUAUGACUGUAGACUUUUUAGGAUGUGAUAAUGGAAGUGUAGGUCAUUCCCUCACUGCCAGCUGAUUCCAGGUCAGCUGUGGGAAAGCCCUCCGCCUCAGCUGACUGCGAUCCAAAAUCAGCUUGUGGACCUAAACAACGAACCAGUCAGUCACGCAGACAGCCAGCGAGAGGACAGAGCCGAGAGGAAUGUCCCCCCUCUCUGUUUCCCCCCCGUCUUUCUCUCUGUUCUGCCAUUGGUGGCGGUGAGGGAGCAUGCAGGGGGAAACAUUCCUUUGGUGGCCCAUUAUAGCCUGCUAGGCCAGUGGGAGGGGGCUUUUUACUAAAGGGGGGUGGGGUGUCCUGUUUUUCGCCCGACAGGGGGAAAAAAAAAAGUGUUGGGGGUUUGCAGGAUUGCAGAUGUGGUCUGUGCGGUGGCGACGAGAGGGAGAAUCCUCCUGGGGGGCAGAGGGUGCACGCAGGGGGGACGCGAGAGUUUCCAGCCGGUUACGAUGUGGCGGAAGUUGUGGCGCCAAUCGUUGCUCCAAAUACUUGUUUGCAGAAUGUUUUUAGACACCUCCACCCUGGGAUUGAUUGCACUUUGGAACCAUUUGCUUUGUUUCUAGUUCGACAGGCGAGUUCAAAGUGCAGUCUUAAACACACGGCCCAUUCAGAGCAGAGAUUGUAGGGUAUACUGUGUAGCCCACGGCUGGUAUUGACAUUGGUUGGCUGUAGGUCUGUGUGUCGAGGUGGUGGAGCCUAAUUGUGUUUCUCUCAAAGAGAUUUCUUUACGGUCUGUUUCUCUCCCACUCUUUGUGUGUGAGGAAGGAGUUGCAUUUUGGGGAAGGAGGACGACUUGGGUGCAUCCGAAUGUCAUUGAAGGCAUGAAUCCCUGGAUUCAGUUUAUGGCUGACAUAACCAUGGCUCUCUCACAAAUUGUGGCUGUGUUCACAAGCUUACUUCUUGGCUAUUGUGCAUAGUUAUGGGGAUUAGUAAAUGGCAUUUCCCUCUAAUGAAUUGAAAUUGCCAACAAUAGGGACUAAGAAUUUCCUUUUGGUUGGCUGCCAGAAUGCAUGUUGAUGGUUUUAGCUUGAAGCUCAGACCCCCCUUCUUCAUGUGUCCUCCCAGUGUAUCCUCAACAAAGGGAUUUAAAGGAGUAUACAGGCUCGUUUUAUGCAAAUAAGCUCUUUGGUCCAUUUUCCAUUGUGUAAAAAACACCUGGUAGCAGUUUCGCCGUCUGGUAUUUCCGUUGACCUCCGUACUUUUUAUCCAAAGUACACGGCUACAUUUGUAUCAUUUCAAAAGUACUCUGUACACUGAAUACUGAAGACACAGAGGUGCUGCUUGUGCUGAAACAAUUCGAUUAGUCAAAAGAUAUCAUACUGUUCAUCAAUUUAUCAUUUAAUUCAUUUAUCAAGAAAAAAACGCUAAACAUUUGCUGGAUUCAGCUUCAGAUGGGACGCUUUCCUGCAUUUCUGUCACGUCAUUGUAAACUGAAUAUCUUUUUUUGGACUCUUGGUCAGACAGAACAAGCAAUUUGUAGACGUCACCUCGGGCUCUGGGGACUUGUAAUGGUGUUCUCCCCCCCCCCCCAUUUUUAGAUUAAACGAAUAAUGGAAAAAGUAGUCUAUAAUGAAAAUCAUCAUUAGUUCCAGCUAUCAGUGCUGGCAGUCUUCUCACUGCACAAGUGAUAAUUCUGGAAAGAGUGAUUUAAUGAGAGAGCGGUAUUUUGGGGGGUUUAUUCCUGGUGUCUGGCAGUUAUUUUCUUACUGGGCUGUGAAGGUGAGGUGGAGCUGAUCAGGGAUGCAGGAUCAUCACUCGAGCAGACUCGUGUCAGAGGUUUCAGCUCCUACUGGAGCUCAGGAGGUUUAUGUCUAGAGCUGACUGACAUUUGUAUAUUUCAGCAGAGAAAUUGUGACUGCACUGAUUGUGUCAUGAACUGUGUGUGUUCUAAUGCACGCUGUUUUUGAGAAGUUGGAGGGGGUGUUGUUUGUAGGAAAGCAGCAGAAGAAAGGAAUGUGUGUUUAAGUGGGGCAUGUGCGUGUGUGUUUAGAUGCCUGUGUGAAGGGUGGGGGCACCAUUAUAUUAUGGGUCUUGGGGACGGGGGUUGACAGCAGUUUGAAAGGUUUGAAGGUUUUCCCCCCCGUUAGUUUUCCAGCGGAGGCACAUAGCUGUGGGUUUGUCUGCCCGAGGCUGCUGGUAAACACUGUGCAGUUAAACAAACGCAGGCCCCUCAUGUUCUCACCUACUGAAUGGGUGUGUGUGUGUGUUUCUAUGAAGAUUUCUCCUAAAGUUAUUGUGCACCCACCUUCUAUGGUCCAUUUAACAUACAGGGAAGUCAUACAGGGAAAUAAACUAAGGAACAUAUUGAAAACAAUAUCAUAUUGAAAAAGAGAGAGCUGCAGUUCAGCUUUGCUUUUAGCAAGUUUCCUCAUAAACAAACACCUCAGUAGUGUUUGAAUGGAAGCAUUCAAGUAACCUGACCUCCACUGUUUGUAGGUGUCUAAUUGAGCUGCACUUAUAAUGCUAAAAAAUAAAUCCUCUUCAGGUUAUUUUCCAUAGAAAAUUAGCUUAAGGCAGUGAUGUAGACUCCUGUGCCUGAAUCUCGAUUGUAUUGAAUUGUUUCAGUCACUAUAUAUUUGAACUAACUUGUGGCAAUAAGGGCUGAAAGAUAUGAAAACAUUAUGCAUCACCAUGGCGGUCAUUCAAUAAUAUGACCAUAUAAAAUGUAGCCAGUGCUGUGCAUGCUCACCGUGUGACACUGUUACGUUUGAAUAUCUCUACUUGCCCUUGCAUCUCUCUCCUCUGUCUACAUGGCUGCAGAGUGCAGCUGGCUGCAGCCUCUCUAUUCUGAACCACAGCGCUCUGCAGGGAAACACCACUUCAGAGCUCUGCUAUCAUCCUGCAACUGAGAGAGAGCGAGAGUUCAAAUUAAAUACAAAUGCAAUCAGAAAAACAGAACAGGAAGCAAAACCCCGUUCUCACCAUUGCUAUUUCAAACUGUCCAACAGUUACAAGUAAGGCUAAUGCAGCAGCUUGUUUUAAACACCGGCCUACUUCAUUAACACACUGUUUGCAAUGUCUUAUAAAAGUGUAUGCGGUUGAUGGUGAGUGAGUUAAUAAUGUGUGCUGUGUCGGUGCCACUCUCGUCCACAGAGAGAACAUGUAUUAUUAGUGUUAUUUCAUUAUUGUAGAGCUAAAUGUGCUCUUCUUUUGGAAGCUUCCUUCUUUCAGCCCACAUUUUAUUCAAGAGACCUUACAUUGCAGGGACUUAAAGAGAGAAAUUUGUCAUCUCAACAGAGGUAAAAAAAAAAAAAAAAAAAAAAAAAAUUGUGGUUUAAUCUCUUAAAUAAAGUAUUUGUUAGCGCUGUUUACAAACAUUAAAGGGGAACUUCACUGAUUUUACACAUGAAGGCCAGUUUACCAGUCAUAGGGAACACUACUCAGCCCGAAAACAGGUGUAUAGUGUCUCUGUCAAGUCUGACAAAAAUAUGCUAUUAGUUGCAUUAUGGGAAAUGUAGGAUGUAGUGGUUUUGGAGCUAGACACAUACCAGGGACUAAAAGUCAGGAUAUCCUGGUCUCUGCUGCUUCGAUUUUGACCAUCUUGUUUUAAUCUGUUUUGUAAAUCCCCAAAUUUAGUGGAAUUUUGACCCUCUGCAUUCCUAAUAUUGAGCUCAAUGUCAUGUUUAUUAAAUGGCUUCUAUUUCAGCGUGGAACGAACCUUGUCACGUCAGCACCCGUAGCCAGCGUAUUGUUCACACUGUCCGAGGUUGUCCCCGAUCUGGUCGUCCUCUGGAGGCCGGCGUGGCUGGGCAGGAACAUCUGUCAGAGUGGGACAGACCACCCCACCCGCACCACCACCGCCACUCACCCAGAGAUUACAGCCCAGCUCAGAUGACCAGAUUAUAUCCAGAUCUGACACAUAUCUCAGAUGAAUGGAAAGACAGGUUAUUCUCCCUCUGGGGUGGGUGUGUGAGUGAGCGAGGGAGCUAGAAAAAGAGAGAGAGCACAACAAACAGGCCGAGCAAGUCUGGUAACAAAGAGUGAGCUGUGUCGGUAAGGCCUUAUGUUACAUCUGGGAUAUGCUUAUAUAUAUAUACACACACACACACACACACACACACACACGCACAGCAGACGUCUGGAGGGGAUGUUUGGCUGGAUCAGGGAUUUAGCACUGUAGCUGCCGUGUGCCUCACUUGUCUACCUCAGUCUGAUAGUCGUACGGCUGCAGCUUCAGACCAGACCUGUGCGCUUUGAAACAAUUAGACCAGCAUUAAGCAGAUUCCUGAUUAUCUUCUGUUCUUCACCAGACACUUCAUGUUGUGGUACAAAAAUGUGCACAAUUGGCCUGCUUGUCUGUAUUUUUUCUGUUCCUUAUUGCAACUGUGAUGACAGCAAAUGGCAAGAACCAGUCACCUGAAAAUGAAUGACAAUCCAAAAUUUGGUUUGGUUUGCCUGACCGCUAUGAUGAAGUUCAGCUCGAUUAUGUCGGUCUUCAGCAGCUAUAAAAACACUAUUAGAUAACAGCUGUAAGGACCUGGACAUUGUUUUAAGAAGUGCUUAGCUGAUUGUCUGGACUGCAGCACUGAGUACCAAAAACUGUUACCAAAUGGCUGGUCAGAUUAAUAAUAUAAUUUACUUAUUCUUUGAUCAGAUCCCGGUUUAGGUAAGUUCUUGUAUGGCUGCUUGUGUUCGGACAACAUUUAAGAACUUAAUUUGUUAAAUGAAAAAAGGGCUUUGUAGAUUUUUUUUUUUUUAAACAUUUCUCGAAGUAAGGUAUCAACAGUGUCAUUUUGUUAACUCUACCGAAACUCAGGUAUUGUACAACACUAGUGUUAUCAAAUGAUACCCAUCCCUAAUCAGUGCACCAAACUGCAGGUAAGCGCCUGUCGCAUGCACGUCUUCAUCUAAUUCGCUGACUGUGGUUGUUAAACAUUCCUUCCGGCAUUAAAACUGAUUUGAAGGCAAAUUUGGAGUGUGUAUCGUCACGUACAGGAUGUUCGGAAAGCUGUAGCUGCUUCACAAUAGAAGCUUUAUAAUGUUUGGCCGUUGGAGAGCUUUAAUUGUGAAGCAGCAACUUAAGUGUUUGUGUUUUUUUUCAGAGGCUUAACUGCAGAUUUUAUUACGGCUCCCAACCGAACAUGUUUUUAAUGAGGACAAUAACUAUGUAUAAUUCCUAACUGUCACAUGUUGAUUUACGAUUCGGUUUCUGAAAGCGAUUUUGUAAACCCCAGCAUUAGUUAACUUUGCUAAUUAAAGGGAUUUUAUUCUCAUUUUUGAAACUUAUUGACCAUUUUACUGUAGACCAUUUGCUCAUUUGUUGUGGAAGUUUGACUAGUGAAUCUGCAGCAUUGAAAGUGAACUGACCUCAGCCCUGAGGAACCACCUGACGUGGCUGCUGGGAUCUGUAGGCAUCACUUAGUGUCAAGACAAAAGCCUCCAUCUAUCUCAGUGGCUUUUGAAACAUAACACAGGUGAAGAAGGGGCAAACAGACCAGGAUUCAAACUAAGUGUGUGUUUGUUUCCUCUGCGGCUGUCUCUGAUUUCCUCAGCGAGCUUGUUGCUGUAUUAUUUAACAGCUUUCAAACUGGGGCACUGGGCAAAGAGGUGAAGAGGAGAGGCCUACUGGGACACGCAUACAUGCACACAGCAGACACAAUGGAUAGUGUGCAUACAGUUAUUUAAACCCACACACUCGCACUAGAACUGCCUUUGUUUUCCAUGAAAUGUAGAGACAACAUAAUAACUCUACUGAAUAAAUGUAGAUAAAGUGUACAUGGAUGUCUCUUCAAUUUAAUUACCUAAUAAAUUAUCAUUGCCAAUGUUAAAAAACUCACUUUUCUUCUGUUAUGCCAAAGCAACCACAAACAUAAAAUGCUACAGGAUUUCCUGCCAAAGGAACAUCUGGUAUUUGAAACAGCACAUUUAAAAGCCUGAUAAACACUGACAAUUGUUAAUCUGCAGAAUAUUCAUUUGUAAACGUGCCAGAUAAUUGGCUAAAAUCAAGACUUUUGUAAACUAGUGUGAAGUUAAAAAUUGGGAACGUUCUCUCCAGGUCUGUACACCUGACACAGAAACAUUUCACUGGGGCAUCGGUGGAGCCUCUGCUGGUUUCAGGGCACAUGACAGCAGCAUUAAAUAUUUACGGGUUGUGCCUGGUUCCUCUGCUCUCAUUUAUAGCAAGGACGCUCUGCUCACCAGAUAAUCCCACGCAACAGUCUUCUCUCCUUCUAUGACUCUCCACAUUUAUUUCUUCCCUUGCAUUUCUCCGUUAGCCUUUCUGUCUUUGCCAGAGUCGUUAAGGCAACCGGCUCAGACAAAAGAGGAUAACUGAGUGUGUGUUGCUAUUUUAAGGAAGUGGCCGGUAUGUUUUUGGCCAUUGGUGUUGUAAUGCCAAAUUGUUUUUCUGUGUGAUUUAGCUCCUGGGAUUCUAUCUGUAUUGUGGGAUAUAUUUCUGGUCAGGCAUCUCCAGCAUCAGCCUGGGGCCCGUUUUUUGUCUUUCAUUGUUCAGAGGAGGUCCCUCGGAGACUACAAGCCUAGAGCUUUUACAGAGAAACACAUGAGAUGGACAAUAGGGCCUAGAUUUUCUGUUUUUAGAGUUUACAACACAAAGAGCAUCUCUGGAAUGUAAUGUAAGACUUAAAAUUGCAUAUUUGAACAUGUUUUUCUUUUGUCGGCUUUCUUUAAGCUCAAAAGCAAGAUUUUCUGCAGAGAACAAGGAGAGAAAUCAAGACACAGGCAGACAAACCUGUUUGGUUUUUUUUGGGGAGGGGGGGAUUAUGCAGCCUACAAGUGUAAGACUACAUUUAGAAUCGCAUGCAGGCAAGCAGAGAAAUGUAGCGAGCUUGAGACAGAUGGCUGAUAAACACUUACUGCAGGUUCAUUGCCAGUUUAUGCAGCUAAAAAGACAGAUGAUCCAAACACACUGCUGCUGCUGCUGUUGGCCUCAGGGCCUGAAACCAAAAUGGAAAGCAGGAGGAUUCUCUUCCUCUUCCCUCGUCUUUUUCUGUUGUUGUUACGUCAGUAUUUUCUUGUGACAGCAUGGGCAAUUAAAAAUCUUCUCA